rnacentral:rRNA from 1 species
UACGAAGGGGGCUAGCGUUGUUCGGAAUCACUGGGCGUAAAGCGCGCGUAGGCGGGUCGUUAAGUCAGGGGUGAAAUCCCGAGGCUCAACCUCGGAACUGCCUUUGAUACUGGCGACCUGGAGUCCGGGAGAGGUGAGUGGAACUCCUAGUGUAGAGGUGAAAUUCGUAGAUAUCAGGAGGAACACCGGUGGCGAAGGCGGCUCUCUGGACCACAACUGACGCUGAGGCGCGAAAGCUAGGGGAGCAAACAGG